UACGAAGGGGGCUAGCGUUGUUCGGAAUUACUGGGCGUAAAGCGUAUGCAGGCGGAUCGUUAAGUCGGGGGUGAAAUCCCGAGGCUCAACCUCGGAACUGCCUUCGAUACUGGCGACCUUCGAGUCCGGGAGAGGUGAGUGGAGCUCCGAGUGUAGAGGUGAAAUUCGUAGAUAUUCGGAAGAACACCAGUGGCGAAGGCGGCUGCCACUGGCCCGGUACUGACGCUGAGAUGACGAAAGCGUGGGGAGCAAAGCAGG
rnacentral:rRNA from 1 species